CAGAUUCUGAAGACGAGCUGCUGCAUCGAUAAUCUGAGGAAGGGAGUUCUCUGUUAAGACUGCAAGAAGAUACUACCAACUGACUGGAGGCCAAGAACAGAGUGCAGCGCUGGCUGUAGGUUUGCUGGCAUGGGUAAUCUCAUUAAGGUGCUAACCAGGGACAUAGACCACAAUGCAGCACAUUU